CCUACGGGUGGCAGCAGUGAGGAAUAUUGGUCAAUGGGCGCGAGCCUGAACCAGCCAAGUAGCGUGAAGGAUGACUGCCCUACGGGUUGUAAACUUCUUUUAUAAAGGAAUAAAGUGCGGCACGUGUGCCGUUUUGCGUGUACUUUAUGAAUAAGGAUCGGCUAACUCCGUGCCAGCAGCCGCGGUAAUACGGAGGAUCCGAGCGUUAUCCGGAUUUAUUGGGUUUAAAGGGAGCGUAGAUGGGUUGUUAAGUCAGUUGUGAAAGUUUGCGGCUCAACCGGAGAAGUGCAUUUGAAACUGGCAUUCUUGAGUACAGGUGAGGUAGGCGGAAUUCGUGGUGUAGCGGUGAAAUGCUUAGAUAUCACGAAGAACUCCGAUUGCGAAGGCAGCUUACU
rnacentral:rRNA from 1 species